rnacentral:lncRNA from 1 species
AAAAUCUGCAGCGAUAAUCGAUUAUCGUAGGACGAUAAUCGAUUAACCUUUCAAAAAUAUAAACGUUGAAAGGCAACGGAUACUAAGAUAAUCGAUUAACCUAUGUCAGAUAAUCGAUUAUUUCAAUGAUAAUCGAUUAUCGCACUUUAGAUAAUCGAUUAACUUAAUUGAAAAACUAGACGUUGAGAAAUAACGGAUAAACGAUAAUCGAUUAUUGUUUGUAAGAUAAUCGAUUAUCUCACCUUGCGUAAAAUCGUCCAGUUUAAUGAAAUAUUAGAUAAUCGAUUAUCUCCUCACGAUAAUCGAUUAACUCAGUGGAAAAAAGAAAGACACUUUUAAUAACCUUUUUGGUUCAAUUUAAAACAUGAAAAUCAAUUUAUUCCAAGAGUAUAAAGAUUAUUUAUGAUAUGCAUAUGUUUUAUGAAAAUAAUUUUUGGAGAGAAGCCAAGACUUAAAAUUAGAGUAGGAUCAAGAUCACAAAUAUAAAUAAGACUCAAAAUAAAGGUCUUCAUUUACACUUUAAAACAAGAAAAUCAAUUUAUUCCAAGAGUAUAAAAAUUAUUUUUGAUAUGCAUAUGUUUUAUGAAAAUAAUUUUUGGAGAGAAGCCAAGACUUAAAAUUAGAGUAGGAUCAAGAUCACAAAUAUAAAUAAGACUCAAAAUAAAGGUCUCCAUUUAUUUUCAUUGCUUCAUUGCUUCUCUUGAUCUUUUCUUGAACUUCUUGUUUUUGUACUCCAACUUUGUUCCGUUAAUUGAUUGCAUAUCAUCUCUACAAAACAAAUAUACUUUAGUAUAAACAAAAGUAUAUCUCAAUAAUAACUUACGAUUAUUUGGCAUGUAUAAUAUUUUCCAUCUUCAUCGGUUUGUCAUUUAUCAAAAC